ACAUAUUUUAGAGCCUAAUUCAUCUUAAUUAAUAAUCAAAAUUACAUUCAAAUCCAAAUUUAAAAUUUUAAUGCUAAAAUUUUUCCUCAAAUAAAUUUAUUGUAAUCCAUCUCUACUUUAAUAAAGCUGCACCUUGAUCUGAUUUUUGAUUUAAUAAAAUAUCCUAAUUAUAUAUUUCUAAAAAUAAUUUUCAACGACGAUAUACAAGCAAAAAUAAAGUUUUAUUAAUCGUGGAUUAUCGAUUACAGGACAGAUUCCCCUGAUUGGAAUAAAAAACCGCCAAAUUUUUUGAUUUUAAAGAACAUAACUUAUAUUUAUCAAGUCUUAAUAUAUCUACAUCUAGAAUAAUGGGGUAUCUAAUCCCAGUUUAACUUCUAGAUUUCUUAACCUCAUAAUCAAAAAUUUAAUUAAAUGAAAAAUAAGAUUUCACCCAAUAUUCACCAAAAUAAAAAUUAACUUUUAUUAAUUAAGUAUCAAAACUGUUUUAAAAUAGUAGCAUUAUUUGUUUAACCGCA
rnacentral:rRNA from 1 species